rnacentral:siRNA from 1 species
AGCGUGAGCACCUGUUCUGCUGC